AAAUAUUCCUGUACCUUGUACAAGUGCGAUGUGGGGACGGAGAAGGUUAGGUCAGCCGGGUGUUGGACGUCCCGGUUUAAGCGUGUAGGCGUGCCCCUUAGGCAAAUCCGGGGGGCUUAGCUGAGGCGUGAUGACGAGGAACCACGGUUCCGAAGUGAUUGAUACCAAGCUUCCAGGAAAAGCCACUAAGCUUCAGCUUGUAUGAGACCGUACCGCAAACCGACACAGGUGGGCAGGAUGAAAAUUCUAAGGCGCUUGAGAGAACCCAGGAGAAGGAACUCGGCAAAUUAACACCGUAACUUCGGGAGAAGGUGUGCCCCGGUAGCGUGUAGAGACUUGCUCUUGAAGCGCGAUGGGGUUGCAGUGAAAUGGUGGCUGCGACUGUUUAAUAAAAACACAGCACUCUGCAAACACGAAAGUGGACGUAUAGGGUGUGACGCCUGCCCGGUGCCGGAAGGUUAAGUGAUGGGGUGCAAGCUCUUGAUCGAAGCCCCGGUAAACGGCGGCCGUAACAAUAACGGUCCUAAGGUAGCGAGAUUCCUUGUCGGGUAAGUUCCGACCUGCACGAAUGGCGUAACGAUGGCCACACUGUCUCCUCCUGGGACUCAGCGAAGUUGAAAUGUUUGUGAAGAUGCAAUCUCCCCGCGGCAAGACGGAAAGACCCCAUGAACCUUUACUGUAGCUUUGCAUUGGACUUUGAACCGGUUUGUGUAGGAUAGGUGGGAGACUGUGAAGCCGGGACGCUAGUUUCGGUGGAGUCAACCUUGAAAUACCACCCUGAUUUGUUUGAGGUUCUAACCUUGGUCCGUGAAUCCGGAUCGGGGACCGUGCAUGGUAGGCAGUUUGACUGGGGCGGUCUCCUCCCAAAAGGUAACGGAGGAGUACGAAGGUACGCUUAGGGCGGUCGGACAUCGCCCACAAAGUGCAAUGGCAAAAGCGUGCUUGACUGCGAGACCCACAAGUCGAGCAGGUACGAAAGUAGGUCAUAGUGAUCCGGUGGUUCUGUAUGGAAGGGCCAUCGCUCAACGGAUAAAAGGUACUCUGGGGAUAACAGGCUAAUUCCUCCCAAGAGUUCAUAUCGACGGGGGAGUUUGGCACCUCGAUGUCGGCUCAUCACAUCCUGGGGCUGUAGUCGGUCCCAAGGGUAUGGCUGUUCGCCAUUUAAAGUGGUACGCGAGCUGGGUUUAAAACGUCGUGAGACAGUUUGGUCCCUAUCUGCCGUGGGCGCUGGAAAUUUGAAGGGGGCUGCUCCUAGUACGAGAGGACCGGAGUGGACGAACCUCUGGUGUACCGGUUAUGACGCCAGUCGUAUUGCCGGGUAGCUAAGUUCGGAAGAGAUAAACGCUGAAAGCGUCUAAGCGUGAAACUCGCCUUAAGAUAAGAUUUCCCGGAGUCUUGAACUCCCUGAAGGGUCGUCGAAGACCACGACGUUGAUAGGUCAGGUGUGGAAGCGCAGUAAUGCGUUAAGCUAACUGAUACUAAUUGCCCGUGCGGCUUGAUC
rnacentral:rRNA from 1 species